UGAGUAGCAACGAACCAUGAUUGUUUUGUCUCGUGACCGGUCAAGUUGGCCUCUGUAAAUAAAGAGACCUGCAACUUGAAUUGAAGAGAAACAAAGCUUUUAUCUGAAUUUCUUUCCUGUGAGAGAAAAAAGAGUGAGGAAAGAUGUCCAUUGUCGAGUCCAUUGUCAAGCUCCUUCUCCAAAAACUCGCUGACCCAAUCCUUCAAGAAGCCAUUUUCUUAUAUGGCGUUGGUGAUCAAGUCGAAUGGCUCGAGGCGGAAUUUAAGCGGAUGCAAUGCUUCUUGGAAGACGCAGACGCCAAACAAGAAGGAGAUAGAAGAGUUAAGGGCUGGGUGGGGGAUGUGAGAGAUGUUGCAUAUGAUGCUGAGGACGUCAUCGACACCUUUCUCUUCAAGGUAGCAAACUUGAGGCGAACUGGAUUUGUGGGCUGCAUUAAAAGGUACUCUUGCAUCUUCAAUGAGUUGAUAGCUCGCCAUGAGGUGGGCUCGAAUAUUGAACGGUUAAAAAUUAAAAUCCAUGCGAUCUCUGAAAGUAGAUUGACAUAUGGAAUUGAAAAUAUAGGCCAGGGAGCAGGGACGAGCUCUGCCGGUCUAAGCCUCCAAGAACGGAGGCUCACUUCUCCUAAUGUUCAAGAACCAGAUUUUGUGGGUUUUGAUAAUGAUUUAAAGGAAUUGGUAACGCAGUUGACUAAUGAAGGAGAGCUGCGACGUUGUGUUGUUUCUGCAGUCGGCAUGGGUGGUAUCGGUAAGACCACUCUUACCAGGAAAGUUUAUAACACUGAUAGUGUAAAGAAACAUUUCCAUAGUCAUGCAUGGAUUUCUAUAUCACAACAGCCUUCUGUGAAAGAUCGUUUGCAGACCAUCACAAAACGCUGUAUGGUUCUGUCUAAAGAGCAGCUCGAGUUGGUAGAGAAGAUGGACGUUGUUGAGCUGCGCGAGAAGAUCUCUGAGUAUCUGAAAGAAAAGAGGUACCUAAUGGUACUUGAUGAUUUAUGGACAAAAGAAGCAUGGAAUGAUCUGAAGGAUACAUUUCCAGAUGUGAAUAAUGGCAGUAGGGUCAUGCUCACCACACGAAACAAAGACGUUGCUUUAUAUGCAGAUCCACGAAGCCGUCCCCAUGAACUGCGAUUUCUAACCAAUGAAGAGAGGUGGGAUUUAUUCUGUAAAAAAACAUUCUUAGGACGAGAUGGUGGUUGCCCGCAGGAUUUGGAGAAGCUGGGAAGAGAGAUCGUAGAAAAAUGCCAUGGUCUCCCUCUUGCGAUCGCAGUUGUUGGAGGGCUCUUAUCAGGAAAGGAAGAAAGGGAGUGGGAGAAUGUAUGCAAAAGCAUCAGCUGGCAGCUUGUCGAGGGAGAAGUCCAAAUCUCUAGCAUAUUAUCUUUAAGCUAUAAAGACCUGCCGUAUUACUUAAAACCAUGUUUUCUCUACCUGGGCAAUUUUCCAGAGGACUACGAGUUCCAAGCCAAGGAAUUGAUUCGACUGUGGGCCGCAGAAGGGUUUCUUAAAGAAAGAGGGGAACUAACAUUGGAAGAGGUUGGAGAAGAUUAUCUGAUGCAGUUGGUUCAGAGAAGUAUGGUUCAAUUGACAAGAAGAAGUUUAAGCAAGGGUAUCAAAAGUUGUCGCAUCCACGAUCUUUUGCGUGAUCUGUCCAUAUUAGAAACUAAGGAAAGCAAGUUUCUCGAAGUUCAGGGUGACAAUGGCAAUGCUCCUCCUGCAUCUAGAGCCCGUCGGCUUGCAAUUCACCUUAAUGACCCAAGAAAAUUAAAAAUCAAACAGCCUUCCACUCCGCACCUUCGUUCUAUGUUGAUCUACACCCAAGGCGAUACAUGGCUUCAAACGGAACAAAGCAAGUUUCUAUUCCAAGGCUUUAAGUUGCUUAGGGUGCUAUAUGUAGCACGUGUAAAAAUAAGGGAGCUACCGUGGGAAAUAGGUGAACUAAUCCAUUUGAGAUAUCUCAGGUGUACUAAAAUUGAUUUAAAAACCCUCCCAUCAUCGAUAGGCAAUCUUAUCAAUUUACAAACUCUAUUUGUACGAUCCAAUAAUAUUGGUAUUGAAGUACCGGAGACAAUUGGGAAGAUGCAUCGGUUAAGACAUCUUCAAUUACCGUUUUUGGGAGAGAUAGGAGGGCAUCCGAGGCUCGACCUGAUAAGUAACCUCCAGACUCUAUCCGGAGUAUAUGCUGGCAAAUGGAUGGAGGGUUGCUUGGGAAAGCUCACCAAUCUUAGAAAAUUAAAAAUAGUUUUCGAAACAGGAGCUGAUGCUGAGUUAUUCUAUGAGGCGAUUGUCAAUCUGAACUGCCUCCAUCAUCUAUCGGCCGUGUGGGUGUCAGUACCGACACCUGGCAAUGAAGACAGAGCCUUAGUUUUGUCGUUACCUAAUCUUCCACAUCUUCUCAAGUUAAGUAAGUUGUAUUUGGCAGAAGGGUUAGAGACGUUACCUGAAUUUCCAACAAACCUCACCAAACUCACCUUGGAAUGGUCCGGUUUAAAGGAAGACCCAAUGGCGACGUUGGAGAAGCUGAAAAGCCUUCGCAUUCUCAGAUUGCUGUAUGGUUCAUAUAUGGGAAAGGAAAUGGCUUGCUCUGCACAAGGGUUUCCUCUGCUCGAAUCCUUAUAUCUUCAUAAAUUAGAUGAAUUAGAGGAGUGGAGAGUUGAUGAAGGAGCUAUGCCAAGUCUUUUACAUUUACAGAUCCAAGAAUGCAAGAAAUUGAAGAAGCUUCCAGAAGGACUGCAACACGUGACUACACUCAAGAAAUUGGAGUUGGGGCGGAUGCCUGGUGAAUUCGAAGCAAGGAUUCGAGAAGAUGGGGGAGAGGAUUGAUAUACGAUCCGGCACAUACCCUCCAUCGACAUACAAUAGAUAAUGAGAAUCUAAGCACUCGGACUUUAAUUUCUGUCAUUAUGAGAGGCAUUUUUCUCACAACAGAGAUUGCACUGACCUGCAUAUGCUAAGUGACUAGAUGAAGUGAAGAAUGGUGGAAUGGUGACUAGACAGUGAUGAGAUGUUUGGACGAUCAUUUGUAUUUGUAACUCAAGGAUUCGUGUACUUUUUGUUUGGGAUCUUUCAGUAAGGGACCAUGCACUAAUAUUGGUUACAUGCUCUGCAUUUUAAUUUGGGGAAAUUGUUCUUUAGUGUGUGACUUAUUUCACUGUAUGCAUUGUUUGCCUGUAAUAUGUUAGUUGAAAACUGAAAUAUGAAGCAAUAUCUUUAGUGUAGGUCUGGGAGGGCUUCCACUAUUUUUCUGCUUUAGGGAUUACACGUCUCAAAGACUUGAAGCAUUGGUGAGUUCUAGCAUGCAUCCAGAUUGAGCCAAUCAUUUCAAUAGUUUGGAUCACUGAACUACACGCUCCAUUGCUCUGAAAUAGUGAUCCAAACCAUCUAAUCACUGCAUAGGAAAUAGGCAAACCAUAUCUAUCAUACUAGAAAAGUUCCAACAUCC